rnacentral:rRNA from 1 species
UACGGAGGGGGCAAGCGUUGUUCGGAGUUACUGGGCGUAAAGGGUGCGUAGGCGGCCGGAUAAGUCAUAGGUUAAAGCCCGGAGCUCAACUCCGGAAAAGCCUAUGAUACUGUCUGGCUUGAGGGCCGGAGAGGCUGGCGGAAUUCCCGGUGUAGGGGUGAAAUCCGUAGAUAUCGGGAGGAACACCGGUGGGGAAGCCGGCCAGCUGGACGGUUCCUGACGCUGAGGCACGAAAGCGUGGGGAGCAAACAGG